UACGUAGGGUGCGAGCGUUGUCCGGAUUUAUUGGGCGUAAAGAGCUCGUAGGCGGUUUGUCGCGUCGGCCGUGAAAUCUCCACGCUUAACGUGGAGCGUGCGGUCGAUACGGGCAUCACUGGAGUUCGGCAGGGGAGACUGGAAUUCCUGGUGUAGCGGUGAAAUGCGCAGAUAUCAGGAGGAACACCGGUGGCGAAGGCGGUUCUCUGGGCAUGACCUGACGCUGAGGAGCGAAAGUGUGGGGAGCGAACAGG
rnacentral:rRNA from 1 species